rnacentral:misc_RNA from 1 species
CCGGUUUAGGCGUCUAGAGUAAAAUCCAGGCGCUUACAACUCCACCCUUUGUUUACAUUACCUUUGUUGCUUUAGCAGGCCCGCUUUUGGGCCGCUGGCUUCGGCUGGUCCGUGCCUGCUAAGGAACCUAAAACUCAUGUUAAUAAUAUUGUCUGAGUACUAUAUAAUAGUUA